AGAGUUUGAUCAUGGCUCAGAACGAACGCUGGCGGCGUGGAUAAGACAUGCAAGUCGGACGAGAUUUCGUCCUGUAGCAAUAUGGGAUGAAGUCUAGUGGCGAACGGGUGCUUAACACGUGGGCAACCUGCCGAGAAGUGGGGGAUAGCUCGCCGAAAGGCGAAUUAAUACCGCAUGUGAUCAGAGAGGACAUCCUUUCGAAAUUAAAGCUGGGGCAACCUAGCGCUUCUUGUGGGGCCCGCGGCCUAUCAGCUAGUUGGUGAGGUAACGGCUCACCAAGGCUUUGACGGGUAGCUGGUCUGAGAGGACGACCAGCCACACUGGGACUGAGACACAGCCCAGACACCUACGGGUGGCAGCAGUCGAGAAUUUUUCUCAAUGGGGGAAACCCUGAAGGAGCGACGCCGCGUGGAGGAUGAAGGUCUUCGGAUUGUAAACUCCUGUCAUUGGGGAACAAGGUGCAUACGUUAACUGCGUGUGCAUUGAUAGUACCCGAAGAGGAAGAGACGGCUAACUCUGUGCCAGCAGCCGCGGUAAUACAGAGGUCUCAAGCGUUGUUCGGAUUCAUUGGGCGUAAAGGGUGCGUAGGCGGCGCGGUAAGUCGGGUGUGAAAUCUUGGAGCUUAACUCCGAAACUGCAUUCGAUACUGCCGUGCUUGAGGACUGGAGAGGAGACUGGAAUUUACGGUGUAGCGGUGAAAUGCGUAGAUAUCGUAAGGAAGACCAGUGGCGAAGGCGGGUCUCUGGACAGUUCCUGACGCUGAGGCACGAAGGCCAGGGGAGCAAACGGGAUUAGAUACCCCGGUAGUCC
rnacentral:rRNA from 1 species